AGCAAUUUGUUCAUUUUACACUUUCUUGUCAACUUCAAAAACCCAUCUCUAGCUCUCUUUCAAGAUUCCCCUAUUGGAAAUAGACCAUUUUUCACUUUCUUUAGCGACAAACGCCUAGCUCUUGCCUUUCUCUCUCUCUCUCGCUCUGCCUGUGAUUUUGUGUGCGUGUUCUUGUGAUAUUUCCAAAGCAACCACUUUUAGCACUAAGAUUCAUCGUCGAUCACAAUAUGGCUGACGAAUCGAUUUCAGGCAAUUUGAAAGACCUUUCUUUGAACACGAAUGGUGCGGCAACAAAGAAGUCUCAUUUGGUUGUUUGCUUUGGAGAGAUGCUGAUUGACUUUGUCCCAACUGUCGGUGGAGUUUCACUUGCGGAAGCUCCUGCCUUCGAAAAAGCUCCUGGUGGUGCACCCGCUAAUGUUGCUGUGUGCAUUGCGAACUUAGGUGGUUCUUCUGCUUUUAUUGGGAAGGUCGGUGAGGAUGACUUCGGGCGUAUGUUAGCUGACAUUUUGAAGCAACACAACGUUGACAAUUCUGGCAUGCGGUUUGACCAUGAUGCAAGGACUGCACUAGCCUUCGUUACACUCACAGCUGAAGGUGAGCGGGAAUUCGUGUUUUUCCGCAAUCCUAGUGCUGAUAUGUUUCUUCGGGAGUCAGAACUCGAUGUAAAUCUUGUUAAAAAGGCCACCAUUUUCCAUUAUGGUUCAAUUAGUUUGAUCGAAGAACCCUGUAGAUCAACACAACUUGCUGCAAUGGACAUAGCCAAAAGAUCAGGUAGCAUACUCUCGUAUGAUCCAAACCUGAGAUUGCCCUUGUGGCCUUCAGAAGAUGCUGCUCGAAGUGGAAUAAUGAGUGUGUGGAACCUAGCAGAUGUUAUUAAGAUAAGUGAGGACGAAAUUUCAUUCUUGACUGGAGCUGAUGAUCCAAAUGAUGAUGACGUGGUGUUGAAGAGGCUUUUCCAUCCUAAUCUGAAGCUUUUGCUUGUAACUGAAGGUUCGGCUGGUUGUAGAUAUUACACCAAGGAAUUCAAGGGAAGAGUACAUGGUAUUAAAGUAAAAGCUGUUGAUACAACUGGUGCGGGUGAUGCAUUUGUCGGUGGAAUUCUCAAGUGUCUAGCUUCUGAUGCUGAUCUCUAUCAGGUGCAUGAAUUUGGAUAUGAGCAAAAAAGCCAAUAGUAGUUUUCUCAUUGUUCAUGCUUCUUACCGCAAUCUAUUGUUCACCUUAUCAUACUUUCUUCCCCUUGUCAACUCUUUUCUUGAUUUGGUAAAAAAAAAAAGGCCCAUUGUGACAUCUUCACCCAAUUGCAUACCUUCACCCCCUCCCCUCUCUUUCUAAUUCUAGUCUCUAUUCUUACGAGGUUAUAAAUAGGGAGAAUAACUCACAGAAGUUUGUAGUUUCAAGUAGCUGCUUCAUGUUGACUUCGCAAUUUUAACCGUGUCCUCUUGCUGAGAGGGCAAAAUCCUUCCAGCAGUACUGAAAAUCGAGUUACCCUGUCAAAACCAAUUUGUCAGUUCACUGCUUUCGCGACUGUAUAGUUAUUUGAUUGAUGAGGUAAUUUGUUCCCUGAUAGUUUGAUCGUACACCCCAGCAAGUUAAGAUUGUUUUGCUUUCACCGGCUUAAUUGGUCUUUCUCAGGAUUGUUUUGCUUUCAUCGGUGUAAUUGGUCUUUCUCUAACUAUAUCCCAUCACAACAUUGUGAAAGAUUCUAUUGUCUCCUUUUGGAUGAGAAGCGGUUAAGGGAGGCUCUCUUUUUCGCUAAUGUUUGUGCUGCCCUGACAGUGACAGGAAGAGGUGGAAUCCCUUCCCUUCCUAC